rnacentral:misc_RNA from 1 species
GUCCCAGGUGAGAUGGACUUAUUAAAGUCACUGAUUUUCUGUGCUACAGUCCUCUCCUCCUUCUUCUUCUCCUCGGGCACAAGUACGGGUGCAGGUGUUGGCGCAGGCGGAGGAACGGGCAUAGGAAUGGGCACGGUCACGGGUGCAGGCACAAGGAUAGGCACAUUGGCAUCAAGGUUAGAGCUUUUGAUGGCUACAAUAUUGUGCUCG